rnacentral:rRNA from 1 species
AUUAAACUGAAGAGUUUGAUCCUGGCUCAGAUUGAACGCUGGUGGCAUGCUUAACACAUGCAAGUCGAACGGUAACAGGUCUUAGGAUGCUGACGAGUGGCGGACGGGUGAGUAACGCGUAGGAAUCUGCCCAUUUGAGGGGGAUACCAGUUGGAAACGACUGUUAAUACCGCAUAAUAUCUGUGGAUUAAAGGUGGCUUUCGGGCUGUCGCAGAUGGAUGAGCCUGCGUUGGAUUAGCUAGUUGGUGGGGUAAGGGCCCACCAAGGCUACGAUCCAUAGCUGAUUUGAGAGGAUGAUCAGCCACAUUGGGACUGAGACACGGCCCAAACUCCUACGGGAGGCAGCAGUGGGGAAUAUUGGACAAUGGGGGCAACCCUG